rnacentral:rRNA from 1 species
GCCUACGGGGGGCAGCAGUGAGGAAUAUUGGUCAAUGGGCGCGAGCCUGAACCAGCCAAGUCGCGUGAGGGAAGACGGUCCUAUGGAUUGUAAACCUCUUUUGCCGGGGAGCAAGCUGAGUCACGUGUGGCUCAGCUGAGAGUACCCGGAGAAAAAGCAUCGGCUAACUCCGUGCCAGCAGGCGCGGUAAUACGGAGGAUGCGAGCGUUAUCCGGAUUUAUUGGGUUUAAAGGGUGCGUAGGCGGGCUUUUAAGUCAGCGGUAAAAAUUCGGGGCUCAACCCCGUCCGGCCGUUGAAACUGGGGG